rnacentral:rRNA from 1 species
UGGGGAAUAUUGGACAAUGGGCGCAAGCCUGAUCCAGCCAUGCCGCGUGAGUGAUGAAGGCCCUAGGGUUGUAAAGCUCUUUCACCGGUGAAGAUAAUGACGGUAACCGGAGAAGAAGCCCCGGCUAACUUCGUGCCAGCAGCCGCGGUAAUACGAAGGGGGCUAGCGUUGUUCGGCUUUACUGGGCGUAAAUCGCACGUAGGCGGACUUUUAAGUCAGGGGUGAAAUCCCGGGGCUCAACCCCGGAACUGCCUUUGAUACUGGAAGACUUGAGUUCGAGAGAGGUGAGUGGAAAUCCGAGUGUAGAGGUGAAAUUCGUAGAUAUUCGGAGGAACACCAGUGGCGAGGGCGGCUCACUGGACCAUUACUGACGCUGAGGUGCGAGAGCGUGGGGAGCAAACAGG